ACGGAGGUUGCGAGCGUUGCUCGGAAUCACUGGGCGUAAAGGGAGCGCAGGCGGCUUGGUAAGUCUAAAGUGAAAGCCUGGGGCUCAACCUUGGAAGUGCUUUGGAUACUGCCAGACUCGAGUCUGUAAGAGGAAAGCGGAAUUCCAGGUGUAGCGGUAAAAUGCGUAGAGAUCUGGAGGAACACCGGUGGCGAAGGCGGCUUUCUGGUACAAUACUGACGCUGAGGCUCGAAAGCAUGGGGAGCGAACAG
rnacentral:rRNA from 1 species